rnacentral:hammerhead_ribozyme from 1 species
AUCCAGGUGAAGAGUCCCGAAUAGGACGAAACGCGCGUCUCAGAU